rnacentral:rRNA from 1 species
UACGGGGGGGGCAAGCGUUGUUCGGAAUUACUGGGCGUAAAGGGCUCGUAGGCGGCCAACUAAGUCGGAUGUGAAAUCCCCAGGCUUAACCUGGGAACUGCAUCCGAUACUGGAUGGCUUGAAUCCGGGAGAGGGAUGCAGAAUUCCAGGUGUAGCGGUGAAAUGCGUAGAUAUCUGGAGGAAUACCGGUGGCGAAGGCGGCAUCCUGGGCCAACACUGACGCUCAUGCACGAAAGCGUGGGGAGCAAACAGG